rnacentral:rRNA from 1 species
UACGGGAGGGAGCUAGCGUUGUUCGGAAUUACUGGGCGUAAAGCGCACGUAGGCGGCGAUUCAAGUCAGAGGUGAAAGCCCGGGGCUCAACCCCGGAACUGCCUUUGAAACUAGAUUGCUAGAAUCCUGGAGAGGUGAGUGGAAUUCCGAGUGUAGAGGUGAAAUUCGUAGAUAUUCGGAAGAACACCAGUGGCGAAGGCGACUCACUGGACAGGUAUUGACGCUGAGGUGCGAAAGCGUGGGGAGCAAACAGGG